rnacentral:tRNA from 1 species
GGGCCCGUAGUUCAGUUGGCUAGAAUGUCUGGCUGGCAGUCAGAAGAUCACCGGUUCGAGUCCGGUCGGGUCCACCA